rnacentral:rRNA from 1 species
UACGUAGGGUGCGAGCGUUGUCCGGAAUUACUGGGCGUAAAGCGUGCGCAGGCGGUUCGCUAAGACAGAUGUGAAAUCCCCGGGCUUAACCUGGGAACUGCAUUUGUGACUGGCGGGCUAGAGUAUGGCAGAGGGGGGUAGAAUUCCACGUGUAGCAGUGAAAUGCGUAGAGAUGUGGAGGAAUACCGAUGGCGAAGGCAGCCCCCUGGGCCAAUACUGACGCUCAUGCACGAAAGCGUGGGGAGCAAACAGG